rnacentral:rRNA from 1 species
GAUGAACGCUGGCGGCGUGCCUAAUACAUGCAAGUCGAGCGAACGGACGAGAAGCUUGCUUCUCUGAUGUUAGCGGCGGACGGGUGAGUAACACGUGGAUAACCUACCUAUAAGACUGGGAUAACUUCGGGAAACCGGAGCUAAUACCGGAUAAUAUUUUGAACCGCAUGGUUCAAAAGUGAAAGACGGUCUUGCUGUCACUUAUAGAUGGAUCCGCGCUGCAUUAGCUAGUUGGUAAGGUAACGGCUUACCAAGGCAACGAUGCAUAGCCGACCUGAGAGGGUGAUCGGCCACACUGGAACUGAGACACGGUCCAGACUCCUACGGGAGGCAGCAGUAGGGAAUCUUCCGCAAUGGGCGAAAGCCUGACGGAGCAACGCCGCGUGAGUGAUGAAGGUCUUCGGAUCGUAAAACUCUGUUAUUAGGGAAGAACAUAUGUGUAAGUAACUGUGCACAUCUUGACGGUACCUAAUCAGAAAGCCACGGCUAACUACGUGCCAGCAGCCCGCGGUAAUACGUAGGUGGCAAGCGUUAUCCGGAAUUAUUGGGCGUAAAGCGCGCGUAGGCGGUUUUUUAAGUCUGAUGUGAAAGCCCACGGCUCAACCUUGGAGGGUCAUUGGAAACUGGAAAACUUGAGUGCAGAAGAGGAAAGUGGAAUUCCAUGUGUAGCGGUGAAAUGCGCAGAGAUAUGGAGGAACACCAGUGGCGAAGGCGACUUUCUGGUCUGUAACUGACGCUGAUGUGCGAAAGCGUGGGGAUCAAACAGGAUUAGAUACCCUGGUAGUCCACGCCGUAAACGAUGAGUGCUAAGUGUUAGGGGGUUUCCGCCCCUUAGUGCUGCAGCUAACGCAUUAAGCACUCCGCCUGGGGAGUACGACCGCAAGGUUGAAACUCAAAGGAAUUGACGGGGACCCGCACAAGCGGUGGAGCAUGUGGUUUAAUUCGAAGCAACGCGAAGAACCUUACCAAAUCUUGACAUCCUUUGACAACUCUAGAGAUAGAGCCUUCCCCUUCGGGGGGGCAAAGUGACAGGUGGUGCAUGGUUGUCGUCAGCUCGUGUCGUGAGAUGUUGGGUUAAGUCCCGCAACGAGCGCAACCCUUAAGCUUAGUUGCCAUCAUUAAGUUGGGCACUCUAAGUUGACUGCCGGUGACAAACCGGAGGAAGGUGGGGAUGACGUCAAAUCAUCAUGCCCCUUAUGGUUUGGGCUACACACGUGCUACAAUGGACAAUACAAAGGGCAGCGAAACCGCGAGGUCAAGCAAAUCCCAUAAAGUUGUUCUCAGUUCGGAUUGUAGUCUGCAACUCGACUACAUGAAGCUGGAAUCGCUAGUAAUCGUAGAUCAGCAUGCUACCGUGAAUACGUUUCCCGGGUCU